rnacentral:rRNA from 2 species
UACGAGGGAUCCUAGCGUUGUUCGGAAUCAUUGGGCGUAAAGGGUGUGUAGGCGGCCAUGUAAGUCAGUUGUGAAAGCCCCGGGCUCAACCCGGGAAGUGCUUCUGAUACUGCUUGGCUUGAGUAUUGGAGAGGUGAGUGGAAUUCCAGGUGUAGUGGUGAAAUACGUAGAUAUCUGGAGGAACACCGGCGGCGAAGGCGGCUCACUGGCCAUAUACUGACGCUGAAACACGAAAGCGUGGGUAGCAAACAGG